GCUAAACGCGAAGAACCUUACCAGCUCUUGACAUCCGGUGCUACCCGCAGAGAUGUGGGGUUCCCUUCGGGGACGCCGAGACAGGUGCUGCAUGGCUGUCGUCAGCUCGUGUCGUGAGAUGUUGGGUUAAGUCCCGCAACGAGCGCAACCCUUGUGUCCAGUUGCGAUUUUCUGGACAGACUGCCGGGAGCAAACCGGAGGAAGGUGGGGAUGAUGUCAAGUCAGCAUGGCCCUUACACCCUGGGCGAGAAGCACGCUACAAUGGCCGGGACAGAGGGUUGCCAAGCGGUAACGUGGAGCUAAUCCCAGAAACCCGGUCUCAGUUCGGAUCGAGGGCUGCAACUCGCCCUCGUGAAGGUGGAGUCGCUAGUAACCGCAGGUCAGCACUACUGCGGUGAAUAUGUUCCCGGGUCUUGUACACACCG
rnacentral:rRNA from 1 species